rnacentral:rRNA from 1 species
AUUGAACGCUGGCGGCAGGCCUAACACAUGCAAGUCGAGCGGAUGAGUGGAGCUUGCUCCAUGAUUCAGCGGCGGACGGGUGAGUAAUGCCUAGGAAUCUGCCUGGUAGUGGGGGACAACGUUUCGAAAGGAACGCUAAUACCGCAUACGUCCUACGGGAGAAAGCAGGGGACCUUCGGGCCUUGCGCUAUCAGAUGAGCCUAGGUCGGAUUAGCUAGUUGGUGAGGUAAAGGCUCACCAAGGCGACGAUCCGUAACUGGUCUGAGAGGAUAAUCAGUCACACUGGAACUGAGACACGGUCCAGACUCCUACGGGAGGCAGCAGUGGGGAAUAUUGGACAAUGGGCGAAAGCCUGAUCCAGCCAUGCCGCGUGUGUGAAGAAGGUCUUCGGAUUGUAAAGCACUUUAAGUUGGGAGGAAGGGCAGUAAGUUAAUACCUUGCUGUUUUGACGUUACCGACAGAAUAAGCACUGGCUAACUUCGUGCCAGCCGCCGCCGUAACAC